GCAGCAGAUCCUACAGGAAACAGGUUGUGAGGAGAGCGCAUUGUCUCAAAAGCAGUCUGCAAUGGCCAUGAAGAGGUGUGGGGAAGUGCAAAAGGGGCGGGUGCAUUGAAGAUAGAAUGUGAGUGCCCUACAUACUUCCAGGGAGCAGAGUGCACAGUGACUUGGGGAAGCAUGUAGCUUGGGGUAAAAGGCGGGGAGAUGUACACAUUGCUUGAGGUGGAACAGGGAUGCUACCUUAGGGAGAAAUUUGGGGUGGAGGCGGAGGGAGACCUUGUCUUUGUGAAAGACAGUAAAGGGAGGGUCCGCCAUCAUGGCUGCCAGUUCACUGAUACAAUGUGCAGAAGUAAUGGCCACAAAGAAGAUGACCUUCAUGGAAAGGUGGGUGAAGGAGCACAUGGCACGGGGUUCAAAGGGCAGCGAGGACCAAGUUAAGCUCCCAGGGAGGGGUCGACUUGCAGACCAAGGGAAAGACAUUGAGAAGGCCGCAGAGGAAGCAGACGGUAGUUGGGUGAGUGAAGAUGGAGAAGCCAUCCACCAGAAGGAGGAAGGCACUGAGCGCCACCAGGUGGACAUGAACUGAGGAGUGAGUGAAGCCAGAUUGUCUGAGGUGAAGGAGGUAGCUCAGGAUGACAGGGAUGGAGAUGUAGCCACGGUCACGCGACCAAAGGGUGAAGCGGCACCAUUUAGCUUCAUAGGACGCUCUGGUGGAUGGGCACUGGUUGUGCGUAAGGAUGUUGCAGAUGGGAGCAGAACAUACCAUGUCUAUCCAUAAGCCCCAUCCAAAUAUCAGGCUGUGAGGUGAAGAUGGUGAGAUUGGGGUGUUGGAUGUGGCCGUGGGCCUAUGUCAGAAGUUCAGGAAGGCGGAUUGGAGAGGAAAAGAAGGUCCGUAAACCAGUUCUGGCCAGGAUAAGCCGGGGCCACAAGGAGGACCAUUGCCCAAUCCCCAGCGUAUUUUGAGUGAGACUUGCAGAAGCAGAGAAAUGGGUGGGAAGGCAUAGCACAGUUAGGCAGUCCAAGGGAGGAGAGGGGCAUCAUCUUGCAAGCCUAGGCCUAGGACUUCCUUGAAACUGAAGAGAGAGUUUGUGAUUGUCCACCCUGGCAAAGAAAUCCCAGCGAGGUAUGCCUCAAUGGCAAAGAUGGAGCGGAGCAUGGGGUCGUGGAGUUCCCAUUCAUGGUUGGCAUGGAAGGAGCAACUGAGCUGCUUGCACGGAGAAGGUGCACCAAUUCCAAAGGAGAACAGCCUCUGCACCGAGGGUGGGGGAACGGGCCCCACCUUGCUUGUUGACAUAUAUGACCGUUGCCAUGUUGUUGAAGAGCAGUUGGACAUAGCAGGAGUGGAGGAGUUGCAGGGGGCACUCAGCAGGCCAGGCGAAUGGUGUGGAGUUUGAGGACAUUGAUGUGCAUUCUUGCUUACCUGGGCAACCAGAGGCCCUGGGUUAUGUGGCCUUCCACAUGCACUCCCCAAUAUGCCAGAGAGGCAUCGGUGGUGAGUGGCACCAGAGGUUUGAAAGGGACACCCAUUAGGGUGAAGGAUAGGUUGUACCACCAAGUGAGGGAGGUAAGGACAGAAGUGGGGAGGAGGACUGAUUUGGUGAGAGAGUUCGUCUGUGGGUUGUAAGUCAAGCAGAGCCAUAGUUGAAGGCAGCGCAUGUGAAGGCGACCGAAGAGCAUCACUGCUGUGUAGGCUGUAAUAUGGCUGAGGUGUGAGAGGCACCGGUGGAUGCAUGUGCAUAGUCGACAGCAAAGCAUUGCAAUGAGAGUGGUGAAACAGUCUGAGGGUAGGGUGGCUGAGCCGCAACAGAGUCAAGGUGCUCCCCUAGAAAGAUGCGGUUGCAAGUAGGAGUAAGUGAUUUUAUUUCGAUGAUGCAGAUACCAAGUUUGCCAAGCAAGGCACGCAGGGUUUGGAUAGUGGUGAGGAGACGAGUGUGGGAAGGUGCAACGAGGAGCCAGUCAUUGAGGUAGGGGAAGAAGGAAUGUCCCAGGCAGGGCAUAUAUGCCGCCACUAUGGGGGCCAGUGGGAAUACCAAAGGCAAGGACUCAGAACUGGUAGUGAGAAUCGCCUACCACAAAGUACAGGAAUUUGUGGUGGGCAGGACGAAUAUCAGUAUGAAAACAGGCACCCUUCAUAUCGAGAGCUGAGAACCAUGCUCCAUUGGGAAGACACAGGAAUAUCAGGGGAAGCGUGAGCAUCUGGAAGCAGAACCGUUGAGCAAGCAGAGGUUCAGAGUAGGGCAGAUACCACCCCCUUUCUUCGAUCUGAGAAAAUAGGGGGAGUAAAAGCCACAGCUGUGAUAGUGCUGCAGCAUGGGCUCUAUGGCCUCCCUGCAGAGGAGGGCAUCCACUUCCUGUUGGAAGAGGUGGUAUUGGGAGCGGUACGAGGGGCAACCAUGAGGAGGGUGGUGAGGAGGGAAGGAAAGAAAUGUUUUCCUAUUAGGUAGCCUUGGCAGGUGAUGUCCAGCACCCAUUAGGUUGUGGUAAUCUUGCCUCAGCUGAGGGCAAAGAGGGUCAAGGAAGCCUCCAAAGAUGACAUGGGGUGUAACUGGUGGAGUGGAGGAAGGUUCGCUGUUUGACACUGCAUCCCAUAUUCUUCAUAGUAAUAUUAUUAUAUCAUAAUUAUGAUGUAUUUUAUGCAAGAUAAGUCAUCUCAGGUGUCACUGGAAAAGUUAUCAUUUGCUGAAUAUGAUUAUCCUAUUUGUAAUGUAUGCAUGUAUCACUUUUGUAUCUGAAGUUAUAAAUACAGAUUAUGUAUCUGGACUUCCAAUGUAGUUACACCUGGGUAACGCCCAUUAGGUAAGAUGCUUUCAGUCUAGAGAGUGGGUGGGGAAUGGCCUAUUCAUGGUGGGGUGGAAAAUUAAGCUGGCCCUGAUGGUCUAGGCUUUUACACGCUUGGUCUAGGCCUGUCUUGCAGCUAGCAGGCCCCAAACCUGAGCUAAGCCAAGUGUUGUGCUCCCUGACAGUGGCGGUCAAAGGAUAAGACAUGGCGGGGGGGAGGGGGCAAAGGGAAGGGGGUGGAAAAGCCCCAAAACAAGAACAAUUUGCAAUGUGUCUACUGCUUAUGAAAUAUAAUAACCACUUGUGUGAAGCAAUUAUCUGAAAUGAAUUUUUAGAUGUCCUCUCCUAUCCCAAUUGUGUAAUUGGCCCCAUUGUGUAACUGUACCCUGUAAAGGACAGUUGUGUAAGAAACACCCCAUAAAGUACCAAAAAAGACCUUAACUAAAAUUGCACCCGUAUCGGGCAAGGUUGCGAAAAAACACUGGAAAGUACCAAGAGACCCUAACUCUCUAAUUCCUAAUAAUGUCACUAUUACCCAAGUAUGUGUAUCUUAAUUCCUAAUAUGGACACCAUUACUUAACUGUGUGUAAUUUGUUUGCAGUUUUAAGCUUUAAAAGCUCCUGUAUGCUUUGCUUCGGGGGAGCAGUUCCAAUAGCUGCUGCCCCCAGCGCAUUGGUGUGUUAUCAGUAAACAGGCCUCAGGCUGAGUCUCUGAUCAAGAAUGAUUUGUAGGUGAAUUUUUCCACAACAGUGGUAAUGGGAAAUUAGGAAGAACAGUAGGCUUUAGGCGAAGCUUAUCCCCCACCUGGUGAGCCUUCCUGAAAAUGCUACAGGCAGCCUGUAAGUAAUAGCUGCUAUGACUCUACAAGGACAUAUGACCAGGCCACAUGAUGCUGGACUCCAUCUUGGGAUGUCAGUAUUUUUCCAGAAACUGGUCUGGGAACCAAGCUUUAAAACAAAAGUUCCCUGCUCUAUGCAAAAUCUAUAUAAGGCAGGGAGUGACAUCAUCUGUGGUUUUGCACUCUCUACACAAGAAGACUCCUGGAAACACCUGAGGACCAAAGACUGAACUGGGGGAAGUGCUGGACACAGGCUAAAGUGAUUUCUAACCUGUGUAUGAAACACCUGGGGAUUCCAAGCUGCAAAGCAAGCAUAGCUCAUGCCUUAAGAAUCUACAGGUCUGCCUGUACCAUCAGUUAGGGUGAGAAUCUGCUAUUAAUAUCCAAUCAAUCUGGUAUAUUAAGUUUCAGUUGUAUUUUUGUUUAUUUGAUAGGUAAUCUGCUUUGAUCUGUUGCUAUCACUUAAAAUCUAUCUUUUGUAGUUAAUAAAUUUAUUUUCUAUUUUAAUCCAAA